rnacentral:rRNA from 1 species
GGGGGGGCAAGCGUUUGUUUCGGAAUUACUGGGCGUAAAGGGCGCGCAGGCGGGCGGGAAAGUUUCUCGUGAAAGCCCACGGCUCAACCGUGGAAUUGCGGGAGAUACUACUCGUCUUGAGUCCGGGAGAGGAGUGUGGAAUUCCCAGUGUAGCGGUGAAAUGCGUAGAUAUUGGGAGGAACACCGGUGGCGAAGGCGGCACUCUGGACCGGUACUGACGCUGAGGCGCGAAAGCUAGGGGAGCAAACGGGAUUAGAUACCCGGUAGUCCUAGCUGUAAACGCUGAGCACUUGGUGUAGCGGGUAUCGACCCCCUGCUGUGCCGAAGCUAACGCAUUAAGUGCUCCGCCUGGGGAGUACGGUCGCAAGGCUG